CGAAAGCCUGACGGAGCAAGACCGCGUGAGGGAGGAAGGCUCUUGGGUUGUAAACCUCUUUUCUCAGGGAAGAAGCUCUGACGGUACCUGAGGAAUCAGCCUCGGCUAACUCCGUGCCAGCAGCCGCGGUAAUACGGAGGAGGCAAGCGUUAUCCGGAUUUAUUGGGCGUAAAGCGUUCGCAGGUGGUUCUUCAAGUCUGCUGUUAAAGACAGUGGCUCAACUACUGAAAGGCAGUGGAAACUGAAUAGCUAGAGUGCCGUAGGGGUAGAGGGAAUUCCCGGUGUAGCGGCGAAAUGCGUAGAGAUCGGGAAGAACAUCGGUGGCGAAAGCGCUCUACUGGACGGCAACUGACACUCAGGGACGAAAGCUAGGGGAGCG
rnacentral:rRNA from 1 species